ensembl:snRNA U6 U6 spliceosomal RNA
GUGCUCCUGUGGGCAGCACCUAACACUGAAAUGGGAAUACAGAGAAGGUGAGCAUGGCCUCUGCGCAUGGGUAGCGUGCAGAUUUGUGAGUCUUUCCAUAUGUUU